AAAUUGAAGAGUUUGAUCAUGGCUCAGAUUGAACGCUGGCGGCAGGCCUAACACAUGCAAGUCGAACGGUAACAGGAAGCAGCUUGCUGCUUUGCUGACGAGUGGCGGACGGGUGAGUAAUGUCUGGGAAACUGCCUGAUGGAGGGGGAUAACUACUGGAAACGGUGGCUAAUACCGCAUAACGUCGCAAGACCAAAGAGGGGGACCUUCGGGCCUCUUGCCAUCAGAUGUGCCCAGAUGGGAUUAGCUUGUUGGUGAGGUAACGGCUCACCAAGGCGACGAUCCCUAGCUGGUCUGAGAGGAUGACCAGCCACACUGGAACUGAGACACGGUCCAGACUCCUACGGGAGGCAGCAGUGGGGAAUAUUGCACAAUGGGCGCAAGCCUGAUGCAGCCAUGCCGCGUGUAUGAAGAAGGCCUUCGGGUUGUAAAGUACUUUCAGCGGGGAGGAAGGUGUUGUGGUUAAUAACCACAGCAAUUGACGUUACCCGCAGAAGAAGCACCGGCUAACUCCGUGCCAGCAGCCGCGGUAAU
rnacentral:rRNA from 1 species